rnacentral:rRNA from 1 species
AGAGUUUGAUCCUGGCUCAGGACGAACGCUGGCGGCGUGCUUAACACAUGCAAGUCGAACGGAAAGGCCCGCCACCUUGGUGGUGGGUACUCGAGUGGCGAACGGGUGAGUAACACGUGGGUGAUCUGCCCCGCACUGUGGGAUAAGCCUGGGAAACUGGGUCUAAUACCACAUACGACCACACUGUAGACAGUGUGGUGGAAAGCUUUUGCGGUGUGGGAUGAGCCCGCGGCCUAUCAGCUUGUUGGUGGGGUAAUGGCCUACCAAGGCGGCGACGGGUAGCCGGCCUGAGAGGGUGGACGGCCACAUUGGGACUGAGACACGGCCCAGACUCCUACGGGAGGCAGCAGUGGGGAAUAUUGCACAAUGGGCGCAAGCCUGAUGCAGCGACGCCGCGUGGGGGAUGACGGCCUUCGGGUUGUAAACUCCUUUCGCCCGGGACGAAGCCCACCUUGGUGGGUGACGGUACCGUGGAGAAGAAGCACCGGCUAACUACGUGCCAGCAGCCGCGGUAAUACGUAGGGUGCAAGCGUUGUCCGGAUUUACUGGGCGUAAAGAGCUCGUAGGUGGUGUGUCGCGUCGUCUGUGAAAUUCCGGGGCUUAACUCCGGGCGUGCAGGCGAUACGGGCACGACUAGAGUGCUGUAGGGGUAACUGGAAUUCCUGGUGUAGCGGUGAAAUGCGCAGAUAUCAGGAGGAACACCGAUGGCGAAGGCAGGUUACUGGGCAGUUACUGACGCUGAGGAGCGAAAGCAUGGGGAGCGAACAGGAUUAGAUACCCUGGUAGUCCAUGCUGUAAACGGUGGGCGCUAGGUGUGGGCUGUGUGUUUGCAGUCUGUGCCGUAGCUAACGCAUUAAGCGCCCCGCCUGGGGAGUACGGCCGCAAGGCUAAAACUCAAAGGAAUUGACGGGGGC